CUCGCCUUCGUGCUUGGGGCCGUGCAUGCUUUUGCGUCCGUAGAGGUAUAUUUUGUUAUUUUUGAACACAUACGUAGCAAUUGCACUGUAACUUUCAGCGAUUAUUUUUCUCACCAUAAAUUGUCACAAAAGGACUACUCUGCUUUUCCCAUCUUUCGAUACAAGGACUUCUCAGUUGUCGUCCCAAAGUCUGUUCAUCCAAAGACAAAAACGUACUGCUAACAUGCCCACCAAUUUUUUAGGAAAUCAAUUGAAUUUGUCACUUUUACAUCGUCUCCAUCAAGACUCCACUCUGCUGUGUCUUCGACAGCAGCCUGGCAAGGCGUCUGUGGCAUCAAAGGCACUGGCCCAAAGAACGGUGGAAGGUGAGGGUAUAUGUGUGUUAUUCAAGUUCAAAUUUGUGAAUGACCAUGAAAAUGGACUGAAUUUUUAAGAGGGCCCACAUUUCAAAUUAUUUUCACUCCUUGACUGAAGCCUUUCUUAUGUGAUGUGUAAUUUAGGUGGUGUUCCCCGCCGAUUUUCUGUUACUGUUCUUUAAUAUAGUAGGCUGUUCCCUCUGACUGCCCUUUCUUUUUAUGUGAAAAGGGACUUUCUUAAUAUAGUGGUUAUGCAAGUUUCUACAAGACAGUAACUUUCAUCAGGUUUAACACAGACUAUUUUGAUUCAAUUGCAUAAGCAAAUCCUAGAACUAUAUAUGUGUUUGAGUUAGUUUCUCACGUUGUCGUAUAUACAUCUAUAGGCCCACCAGAAGAUUUGGAGGGUCAAUAAAUGGAGCUGAACAUCAAGACGCAUCUGACAUAAAGAUCAUGGCGCAGGACGGAGUGAUCUACAUGGAAACACAGGUUUUAGUCGAGGAUUAGCAAAGUACUCGUUAUAAUAGAGUAGGGCUUCUUUAGUCGUAUCUGACU
rnacentral:lncRNA from 1 species